rnacentral:lncRNA from 1 species
UCUGUGUCUGUGUGUUCCACACGGAACUGUUUCCGUUUUCCUGUCUGUCUUUUAAUUUGUUAUUUUGUAUUUCCGUGUUCAGUGUUUUUGUUCAUUAAAACAUGAAGAACCCGUACCACGCUGCAUAUUGGUCCGAUCCCGUUACACCCAUAGACUACUUUCAGGAUCAACACCAUCAUGUACUCAGACAGAGUGCUGGUGAUGCAUUCUGGGAAGGUGGUGGAGUUUGACAGCCCUACUGAUCUGUGUCAAAGAGACGACUCCAUUUUCUUCAAGCUGGAGACCAGUGGUGGAUGGAAUCGGUGGACCAACCAACCACCCGUCCAAUGGCGGUGGUAGAAGUUGGCCCUAUAAAAAUUACUGGUCCAGGGUUAGAUUUUUUAAAUCCCCAUGAGCGUUAAGGUUAGGAUUGGGGUAGGGAAAUCUGAUCCUAGAUCUGUGGUUAAGUGCGGAGACUUCUUCCUCGCUCGAGGCUCACCGACUGACAUUUGACCUUUGACCUCAGAGAGUAAGGUAUGAAUAAUCCAACCCAAGCAAGAUUAUUAUUUUAUUAUCUUUUAGGAAGUCGGGUUAAUUUUCUAGCUUUUUAUUCAUGAAACGCGUUAAUGUGGUACGAAAGAACUGAUGAUGUGUCAAUAGCACAGAGGUAAUGAAGAAACAAUGAAUAAGUACUUUAAUUGCUUUUGUAUGAAGGGAGUAUACUAUAGCACUAUAAUGGAUUUUGGCUGAAAAGUUGUCAUCCUAGACAGGUCAGUCAUUCACUUUGCAGCAUCAUCAAUCAUUUAUGAAUGUCUGAGAUUUCUCUUGCACCUGGUCUGUUGGCAGUAUGAUCUGUAUAGCUAGAGUGCACAAUAAUGGACAUUCUUCACAUAGAUAAAAUGCAU